rnacentral:rRNA from 1 species
CACGUAGGGUGCGAGCGUUGUCCGGAAUUAUUGGGCGUAAAGAGCUCGUAGGCGGUGUGUCGCGUCGGCCGUGAAAACCUGCAGCUUAACUGUGGGCUUGCGGUCGAUACGGGCAUCACUGGAGUUCGGCAGGGGAGACUGGAAUUCCUGGUGUAGCGGUGAAAUGCGCAGAUAUCAGGAGGAACACCGGUGGCGAAGGCGCUCAUCUGGCCCGAUACUGACGCUGAGGCGCGAAAGCUAGGGGAGCAAACGGG